CUAAUGUGCCCUCCGUCCGAAAAUACUUGUCAUCAAAAUAGAUAAAAGGAGAUGUAUCUAGAUGGAUUUUAGUUAUAUAUACAUUCUUUUUCAUCCAUUUUGAUGACAAGUAUUUUCGGACAGAAGGAGUAGUUU
rfam:Triticum aestivum genome assembly, contig: Triticum_aestivum_CS42_TGACv1_scaffold_211026_3AS